rnacentral:lncRNA from 1 species
CUUCAGGUUCCUCUUGUUGACAAUGAGGAUAACAGGUACACCGGCUGUUCAGGGUUGCGUGGUCAUGCAAUGAUGUCCCUGUAAAUCACAGGGCACAAAGCUGGAUGCAUGUUAAGGGCUCCAUCAGAUUGGCCACUUACGUUUGCUCUAAGACGUACCUUGUAAGUUUCCAUUGUGAUCGAAGUCACUAGGCUCCACCAGAAACGCAGGGCUGGUACACAGGCAUUCAUAUUUAAAAACCAUUUCCCCCAGGAGAUUCUACAUGCCUGAUCCGAUUCAACUCCCUCAUUUACAGGUCCCAAGCAGCUCUGUACAGGGAAGAUGCACAUCUGCCUUCUGUGAGGCUGAGGGGCACGAAAAGAGUCUGGCUGCUGAAAUCUCAAGAAUGCUGGGUCUCUCCUAAGGCAUCUGGGAGCCAUGUCCUUGGGCAGAUGACUGUAGACGUCAGCAGCCUCCACACCAGCAAGGAGAAAACCGGGGAACUCAGUAUCCCAGACUCCAUCUCCUCUCCUCUCCAUUCUCUUGCCUCUGUUUUGGUAGGCCAAACAUUAUUGAUUGCAGAUGAUCCCAUUCUCAGAGGCCAACCUGCAGAGAGGGACAACUGAAGCAGGAUGAAAAAGCCUGGCAAGUUGGUUAAGGUGAUCAUCAUGGCAAAAGCCAUGGUCGUCUUCUCUCCACACUUUACCCCUGAGCCCAAUUUCUGCCCUCUCCUAAAGUCAUGUUGAAAUUUAACUGCAAUUAUCAGAGUAUUAAGAGGUAGGGACCUCAGAGGUGUUUCUGUCAGGAG